AGCAGCCGCGGUAAUUCCAGCUCCAAUAGCGUAUAUUAAAGUUGUUGCAGUUAAAAAGCUCGUAGUUGAAUUUCGGGGUUCUACCGUUGGUCGGGCAAUAGUCUGUACUGGCGUGUAGAAUUUCUACCUUCUGGGGAACUAUCAUGUUAUUUAUUUAGCGUGGUAGGAAACCAGGACCUUUACCUUGAAAAAAUUAGAGUGUUCAAAGCAGGCUUACGUCUGAAUACAUUAGCAUGGAAUAAUAAAAUAGGACGGUGGUCCUGUUUUGUUGGUUUCUGAAUCACCGUAAUGAUUAAUAGGGAUAGUUGGGGGCAUUAGUAUUCAAUUGUCAGAGGUGAAAUUCUUGGAUUUAUUGAAGACUAACUUCUGCGAAAGCAUUUGCCAAGGAUGUUUUCAUUAAUCAAGAACGAAAGUUAGGGGAUCGAAGACGAUCAGAUACCGUCGUAGUCUUAACCAUAAACUAUGCCUACUAGGGAUCGGACGAUGU
rnacentral:rRNA from 1 species